UGGGGAAUUUGGACAAUGGGCGAAGCCUGAUCCAGCAAUGCCGCGUGUGUGAAGAAGGCCUUCGGGUUGUAAAGCACUUUUGUCCGGAAAGAAAACGUCGUGGUUAAUACCCGUGGCGGCUGACGGUACCGGAAGAAUAAGCACCGGCUAACUACGUGCCAGCAGCCGCGGUAAUACGUAGGGUGCAAGCGUUAAUCGGAAUUACUGGGCGUAAAGCGUGCGCAGGCGGUCCGCUAAGACAGAUGUGAAAUCCCCGGGCUUAACCUGGGAACUGCAUUGUGACUGGCGGGCUAGAGUAUGGCAGAGGGGGGUAGAAUUCCACGUGUAGCAGUGAAAUGCGUAGAGAUGUGGAGGAAUACCGAUGGCGAAGGCAGCCCCUGGGCCAAUACUGACGCUCAGUGCACGAAAGCGUGGGGGAGCAAAACAGGAUUCAGAUACCCUGGU
rnacentral:rRNA from 1 species